rnacentral:rRNA from 1 species
GAAAGUGAAUAAGGGCACAUGGAGGAUGCCUAGGCUCUGGGAGGCGAAGAAGGACGUGAUAAGCUGCGAAAAGCUGCGGGGAUUGGCAAAUACGAAACGAUCCGCAGGUAUCCGAAUGGGGCAACCCGUUAUGAGAAGAUCAUAACAUCCCGCGAAGCGGGAGGCAAACGUGGGGAACUGAAACAUCUAAGUACCCAUAGGAGAAGAAAACAAAAGUGAUUCCGCAAGUAGUGGCGAGCGAACGCGGAGAAGCCCAAACCGUCGAUGUUUCGGCAACGGCGGGGUUGAAGGACUGAAACAAAGGCAAGAAAGCUGAGAAGUGGAACGAUUUGGAAAAAUCGAUCGAAGAGGGUGACAAUCCCGUACACGAAUCGAAGCGGAAGCCGAUCAGUAUCCUGAGUAGCGCGGGACACGAGAAAUCCUGUGUGAAGCAGGCGGGACCAUCCGCCAAGGCUAAAUACUCCCCAGAGACCGAUAGUGGACCAGUACCGUGAGGGAAAGGUGAAAAGAACCUCGAACAGAGGAGUGAAAUAGACCCUGAAACCAUGUGCUUGCAAGCGGUCGGAGCUCCGAUUCGUCGGAGUGACGGCGUGCCUUUUGCAUAAUGAACCUACGAGUUACUCUUGUUGGCAAGGUUAAUCGUCAAGAGGCGAUGGAGCCGGAGCGAAAGCGAGUCUGAACAGGGCGGAAAGUCAGCAGGAGUAGACGCGAAACCAAGUGAUCUACCCUUGAGCAGGCUGAAGGUUGGGUAACACCAACUGGAGGGCCGAAUCGGUGAACGUUGAAAAGUUUUCGAAUGACUUGAGGGUAGGGGUGAAAGGCUAAUCAAACUUGGAGAUAGCUCGUACUCCCCGAAAUGCAUUUAGGUGCAGCCUCGGGCUACGAACUUACAUGAGGUAGAGCUACUGAUUGGAUGCGAGGGCUUCGCCGCCUAUCAAGUCCAGACAAACUCCGAAUGCGUGUAAGUGAUACCCGGGAGUGAGGGCGCGGGUGCUAAGGUCCGUGUCCGAAAGAGGAACAACUCAGACCAUCAGCUAAGGUCCCGAAAUAUAUGCUAAGUUGCAUUAAACGAAGUUUUGCUACCGAAACAGCUAGGAUGUUGGCUUGGAAGCAGCCAUUCAUUUAAAGAGUGCGUAACAGCUCACUAGUCGAGUGGCGAAGCGUGGAUAAUAAUCGGGCAUAAGCAUAUUACCGAAGCUAUGGAUCCAUAUAUUGGGUGGUAGGGGAGCAUUCCUGUCGGCAGUGAAGGUGUAUCGUAAGAUAUGCUGGAGCGUCAGGAAAAGCAAAUGUAGGUAUAAGUAACGAUAAAGGGGGCGGGAAACCCCCUCGCCGAAAGACUCAGGAUUCCUGAUCAACGUUAAUCGGAUCAGGGUUAGUCGGGGCCUAAGGAUCAUCCUUUAAGGAGAUUCCGAUGGAAGAAACGGUUAAUAUUCCGUUACUGUGAUAAUAAGUUAAGCGGGGACGCAGGAGUGACACCACUGCCUACUGACGGAAUAGUAGGUUAAAGGGGGUAGGCGUUGAAGGGUGUAGGCAAAUCCGCACCCCGAGUCGAACCUGAAAGUAUGGCAAGUCUUCGGAUGAGUCAAUAAAGUGGGUAAGCAUGCUGCCGAGAAAAGCCGCUACACGAUAAUUAUUAUCGCACCCGUACCGCAAACCGACACAGGUAGUUGGGUUGAGAAUACUAAGGCGCUCGAGUGAAUCACGGUUAAGGAACUAGGCAAAAUAGUCCUGUAACUUCGGGAUAAAGGACGCCCCGCCGAUGGCGGGGCCGCAGAGAAUAGAUUCAGGCGACUGUUUAACAAAAACACAUGGCUAUGCGAAUUCGAAAGAAGCGGUAUAUAGCCUGACACCUGCCCGGUGCUGGAAGGUUAAGAGGAAGGGUUAGCAUUUCGGUGCGAAGCUCUGAAUUUAAGCCCCAGUAAACGGCGGUGGUAACUAUAACCAUCCUAAGGUAGCGAAAUUCCUUGUCGGGUAAGUUCCGACCUGCACGAAUGGCGUAACGACUUCUCAGCUGUCU